UUGGAGGGCAAGUCUGGUGCCAGCAGCCGCGGUAAUUCCAGCUCCAAUAGCGUAUAUUAAAGUUGUUGCAGUUAAAAAGCUCGUAGUUGAAUUUCGGGGUUAGUAGGUUGGUCAUGCCUCUGGUAUGUACUGAUCUCACUGAUACCUCCCUCUUGACGAACUGUAAUGUCAUUAAUUUGGUGUUGCAGGAAAUCAGGACUGUUACUUUGAAAAAAUUAGAGUGUUUAAAGCAGGCUAAGGCUUGAAUACAUUAGCAUGGAAUAAUGAAAUAGGACGUUUGAUCCUAUUUUGUUGGUUUCUAGGAUUGACGUAAUGAUUAAUAGGGAUAGUUGGGGGCAUUAGUAUUCAAUUGUCAGAGGUGAAAUUCUUGGAUUUAUUGAAGACUAACUACUGCGAAAGCAUUUGCCAAGGAUGUUUUCAUUAAUCAAGAACGAAAGUUAGGGGAUCGAAGACGAUCAGAUACCGUCGUAGUCUUAACCAUAAACUAUGCCGACUAGGGAUCGGAUGAUGUUAAUUUUUAAUGACUCAUCGCGCCUUACGGGAAAC
rnacentral:rRNA from 1 species